rnacentral:rRNA from 1 species
CGAGUUUGAUCCUGGCUAAUUGAACGCUGGCGGAAUGCUUCCACAUGAAGUCGAACGGCAGCACGGGAGCUCGCUCCCGGUGGCGAGUGGCGAACGGGUGAGUAAUACAUCGGAACAUGCCUAGUCGUGGGGGAUACCGUAGCGAAAGUUACGUUAAUACCGCAUACGUCCUGAGGGAGAAAGCAGGGGAUUCGCAAGAACCUUGCGCGAUUAGAGUGGCCGAUGCCUGAUUAGCUAGUUGGUGAGGUAAUGGCUCACCAAGGCGACGAUCAGUAGCGGGUCUGAGAGGAUGAUCCGCCACACUGGAACUGAGACACGGUCCAGACUCCUACGGGAGGCAGCAGUGGGGAAUUUUGGACAAUGGGGGCAACCCUGAUCCAGCCAUUCCGCGUGAGUGAAGAAGGCCUUCGGGUUGUAAAGCUCUUUCAGCGGGAACGAAACGGUGCGCUCUAACAUAGCGUAUUAAUGACGGUACCCGCAGAAGAAGCACCGGCUAACUACGUGCCAGCAGCCGCGGUAAUACGUAGGGUGCGAGCGUUAAUCGGAAUUACUGGGCGUAAAGCGUGCGCAGGCGGCUUUUUAAGCCAGACGUGAAAUCCCCGGGCUUAACCUGGGAAUGGCGUUUGGAACUGGAAGGCUAGAGUGUGUCAGAGGGGGGUAGAAUUCCACGUGUAGCAGUGAAAUGCGUAGAGAUGUGGAGGAAUACCGAUGGCGAAGGCAGCCCCCUGGGAUAACACUGACGCUCAUGUACGAAAGCGUGGGUAGCAAACAGGAUUAGAUACCCUGGUAGUCG